GCCGUAAAAACAAACAGUGUGAUUCAUGCUACAUGUUUUCUGUGAAAUUUACUUAGCAAUUGAAUUUUACAAUUUUAUCCAUUGAGUUCUUCAGGAACUAUAUAAUAAAUCACUAUCAAUUUACAAUCCUUCAAGGAUGUAGGAAUAUUGAAUUCAUCUAGAAUUCAUUGAAGAAAAAAAGAAGUUGUUUUAUUAGUUCUUCAGGAACUAUAUAACACAUAAAAGUAUUUUGAUGUGCAAUCCAUUAGGGAUGCAUGGUGAUAAAUGGUGAUAUUUCGUAAGUUCUUNNNNNNNNNNNNNNNNNNNNNNNNNNNNNNNNNNNNNGUUCUUCAGGAACCAAGAUUAUGAAUUCUUAAACAUGUUUAUGUUCUUUUGGAUGAUCGAAGUGUCGAUGUUUCACCAUACAGGUGUCGGUCACGAAGCAUAAUGAUGCUUCAUCAGACUAUUGUCGAUCACGAAACUCAGACAAUAUCAAACAUCCAAAAUACAUAUUAUAAAUAAAUAAAUAAAUAAUUGAUCAACAUUUUAUGUAAUAUUAAUGAUCAAAGUGUUAUGCUUCACCAUAUAAAUGUCGGAUAUCCCGAAGCGUAAACAACAUUGAAUCAAUUAAAUACAUAAAGAAAUGAUGCUUAUUUAUUUAUUUAUUUAAUUUUAAUUAUUAUUAUUUGUUCUUUAUAAGUAUACAAGGUUCAAACGAUUCAUAAUCAUAUAAUAAUCAAAAAUAAAAACUACUUGUGAUUUCAUAAAAAUAGAAUAAGAAUUGCGUACCUCAGUUGGUAAGCUCGUGCU
rnacentral:lncRNA from 1 species